rnacentral:rRNA from 1 species
UGCGUAGGCGGUCCUGCAAGUCCGCUGUGAAAGCCCCGGGCUUAACCUGGGAAUGGCAGUGGAAACUAUGGGACUUGAAUCUGGCAGAGGGGGUGGAAUGCCACGUGUAGCAGUGAAAUGCGUAGAUAUGUGGCGGAACACCGAUGGCGAAGGCAGCCCCCUGGGCUGAGAUUGACGCUCAGGCACGAAAGCGUGGGGAGCAAACAGGAUUAGAUACCCUGGUAGUCCACGCCCUAAACGAUGAUCACUAGGUGUUGGGGAAGCGAUUUCUCAGUACCGCAGCUAACGCGUGAAGUGAUCCGCCUGGGGAGUACGGUCGCAAGAUUAAA